rnacentral:rRNA from 1 species
AUUGAACGCUGGCGGCAGGCCUAACACAUGCAAGUCGAGCGGGGUUUUCGGACCUAGCGGCGGACGGGUGAGUAAUGCGUAGGAAGCUACCCGAUAGAGGGGGAUACCAGUUGGAAACGACUGUUAAUACCGCAUAAUGUCUACGGACCAAAGUGUGGGACCUUCGGGCCACAUGCUAUCGGAUGCGCCUACGUGGGAUUAGCUAGUUGGUGAGGUAAUGGCUCACCAAGGCGACGAUCCCUAGCUGGUUUGAGAGGAUGAUCAGCCACACUGGAACUGAGACACGGUCCAGACUCCUACGGGAGGCAGCAGUGGGGAAUAUUGGACAAUGGGCGCAAGCCUGAUCCAGCCAUGCCGCGUGUGUGAAGAAGGCCUUCGGGUUGUAAAGCACUUUCAGUAGGGAGGAAGGGUUAAGUGUUAAUAGUACUUAACUUUGACGUUACCUACAGAAGAAGCACCGGCUAACUCUGUGCCAGCCGCCGCCGUAAGAC